rnacentral:rRNA from 1 species
UACGUAGGGAGCAAGCGUUAUCCGGAUUUAUUGGGUGUAAAGGGUGCGUAGACGGGAAUUUAAGUUAGUUGUGAAAUCCCUCGGCUCAACUGAGGAACUGCAACUAAAACUGGAUUUCUUGAGUGUUGGAGAGGAAAGCGGAAUUCCUAGUGUAGCGGUGAAAUGCGUAGAUAUUAGGAGGAACACCAGUGGCGAAGGCGGCUUUCUGGACAAUAACUGACGUUGAGGCACGAAAGUGUGGGGAGCAAACAGG